AGGCCGAGGCUUUUUUCCCCAAAGGAAGGUGUGCGCAUGCAGGGCGCACCUGAGCCGAUGGAGGAGCAAAGGCUUAAGCGGCUGAGACUCUUCACUUCUAACACAGAUAUAGCAGGCAGAUACAACCUGUUGGAAAUAUCCUGUGCCAAUGGAAUUUGACUGUUCCACAGUGAAAAUAUGCUCAGUGCAGCUGAGUGCAUGAAUGAAAAAGCCUCGGGUGUCUUCUAGGAAAGCAAAAUGCAGCACAAGACUCAACUUGUCCUGGCCUUCCUCCUGUC